rnacentral:siRNA from 1 species
AAAAUCGUACUUGAUGUCAAAAAU